GACGCAAAGACUUUAAUCCAAAUAUUUACUCCCAGCUUAACUCAAUUUGAAUAUAAGCCGUAACUUUCUCGGGUCAUCAAAUUAGACUUUAAAAUGGCAUCCCUAAGUGCAUUACUUGUACUCACAAUCGUACUAGUUUACUCGAAAUCUGUUAUUUCUCUUCAGUGUUACACUUGUGACGGUCCACUCAAUUCCGAAUGUGCCACUUUGAAUCACAUUCCCCCCACCCCUUGUCUCAAUGAAAAGGUUUGUGCGCGAUUCAUUCUCAAAAAAUCUGAAACUGAGAUUUUAUAUCGUUCCUGCGCUCCGCUAAAUUACUGCAGUGUUUUAGCAGCACAAUAUAAGGAUAAUCCACAGGUUUCCGUAAAGGAGUGCAAAGUUUGUGAUCAAGAUGAGUGUAAUUCAGCAGAAAGGAGUUUUCUACCAGUUUGGUUAAGUCUAUUAACAGGCUUGAGCUUGUUUGUUGUACAGUAAAGACUAAAAUACGAAAAAUAAAUAAAUAAAAAAAUUAACUAAA